UACGGAAGGUAGCAGUGGGGAAUAUUGCACAAUGGGCGCAAGCCUGAUGCAGCCAUGCCGCGUGUAUGAAGAAGGCCUUCGGGUUGUAAAGUACUUUCAGUCGUGAGGAAGGUGUUAAGGUUAAUAACCUUAGCAAUUGACGUUAGCGACAGAAGAAGCGCCGGCUAACUCCGUGCCAGCAGCCGCGGUAAUACGGAGGGUGCGAGCGUUAAUCGGAAUUACUGGGCGUAAAGGGCACGCAGGCGGUUAAUUAAGUUGGAUGUGAAAUCCCCGGGCUUAACCUGGGAAUGGCAUUCAAGACUGGUUAGCUAGAGUCUUGUAGAGGGGGUAGAAUUCCAUGUGUAGCGGUGAAAUGCGUAGAGAUGUGGAGGAAUACCGGUGGCGAAGGCGGCCCCUGGACAAAGACUGACGCUCAUGUGCGAAAGCGUGGGGAGCGAAACAGGGAUUAGAUACC
rnacentral:rRNA from 1 species